GUGAAUCAUCAAAUCUUUGAACGCAAAUUGCACUCUCCGGUUUUCCGGGAGGGUAUCCUGGUUUGAGGGCCAGCCUAAAUAAAAUCGGCUUAGUAGUUUGCUGUGUUUUUCACGCUAACGUUGGUCGGAAGUGGGGUCAUCUUAAACCGAAAGGUUUUUAAGUUACGUAAAAUUUUCUUUACGAUCUCUCGACCGUUUAUAAGAUUUUCUUGUACGUUCAAGGUAUCGAUAUUAGACGUGACCGUCGUAUCGGACCGGCUCAACAAUACUAUCU
rnacentral:misc_RNA from 1 species